GUUUGAGUUUGCAGUGAGAAAGGAGACCCCAAAACAGCUUCCAGUGUUCCUUACUGCCCUCCAGGACAGCAGACAGGAGGCUGACAGGUUUAUCCCAAACAAUCCUCCUCUUGCUGUUCAGGAACUUGAUGAGAAUCACAUCUGCAAAUUCAGCUUUCGAUCUAAAGAUGCAGUUGUACAGCUGAUGAAUGAGGCGAGUUUGGAGAAUCUGCGGGUGGUUCUGAUGUGUCAGGUGGUUCAGAGAAACGCUCUGAUUGGAGCACUGAAACAGGCCUCAGUGUGCUUUAGGAUGGAGAAAAUGGAUCAGUCUUCAGAUUCAGAUUUAAAACUGCAACAUGAAGGAUCUGAAACCAGGAGACGAGCUGUAG